CAGUGGUUUCCAAUGGUGACAGUAAGGAGAAACAAAAAUCAGCUAGAAGUCUGUCUCAGAAUACUGCUAAUUAGAUUCAGUUAAAUGUGACAUAAAGGAGAAAUGUUUGCUGGAUUAAUAAAGGGAUGAAAAUAUUAAUGAAGGAAUGAAUAAAUGCAUGAUGUAGUUAGGCAGCAGAAUUCAUAUAGUUGAAUCAGUUUUUACAGGAGAGAAAAUCAGAUGUUAAUGUCAAGGGUUUAUUUAAACUUUUGAAGAUAUCUAGAGUAAUGCUUGUAUAGUUAACAGAAAUCAAGGAGAUGAAAAAAGAUGUGAAGAUUUUGAGGUAAAAAUGAUAUAGUUGUUUGAAAUACUCAGAUAAGAUUACAUUGGGACAUCUUUGUGCUGAUGUCAAAACGUUGAAAUUGUAAGUCUAAAUAAACUUCAAGAGAAAUUUCAGAUUAUAAAAUCUGACAAUAUUUAUGCAGAGAAAAUCAACUAAACUGUAGAAAUAUAUUCAGAAUAUUAGCAAAAGGAAUUAAAAAGAGAGAAGUUCUGAAAAAUCAGUACAUCUAGACUGAGGAUAAAAUUACAAAAAAUAUCAAAGUAGUUUUAUAGGAGACAUGACUGAGCUUUGCAAUGAGUCUAGAAGCCAGAAAAGAGAAAUUAAGGAAUUUAUUUGCAAAAUAAGUUUGAAAAGAGCAUCAAAUACUGCCUCAAUUAAGGCUUUUAUACAACAAGUGAUCAACUCUACUAAAUAAAGAACAUCAUUUGGACUGUAUAAAACCUUUGUCAAAGCACUAUUAGCAAUACCAUAUUGGGAAACAGAAGAAUCCCUCUAGCUAGUUUUGAGAUUUUUAGGCUUUGAAAAUCUAACUUCAUGAUUAACCAAACUGCAUAAUUUCAUCAUUGAGUUUAUGUUAAGUCAUAUGAAACAAGCCUAAAGGUUUAGAAUUAUUCUGCAGUUUAAAAAAAUUAACAUGAAUAUUUUUAGGAAGAUAUGCUUAUACAAAUAUCUCAUCUUCUGAAGAUAUUGAAGAACAGUGUUGAGAUUUUAUUUCACACGUAUGAGAUCUUCCAGUUACUCAAAUAGAACAGAAGUCCAGUGAUUAUUUCUCAAUACCAUCCUAAAUAUGAUGAUAACCAGUGGCUGUUAUGUUGAGACGCUGGGUCAUUCUAUUUGCUAUUGAAAUAGCAAUAAUAUGGUGGCCACCAUCUCACUGUGAGUUCCCAUGACCUCUUUGUGUGUGCAUGGGGAGAGAAAGAAAAAAAGAGAAAGAAAGAGGGGAGAGUGAGCUCUGUGGUGAUUCUUCUAAUAAAGAUCCCAAUCCUAUGAAAUCAAGUGAAAA